AUUGAACGCUGGCGGCAGGCUUAACACAUGCAAGUCGAACGAUCGGCGGACGGGUGAGUAAUGUAUUGGGAUCUGCCCGUUUGAGGGGGAUAACUACUGGCAACGGUAGCUAAUACCGCCUACUAUCCGCUGUCCCCAUAUGGGAUUGGCUAGUCGGUGGGGUAACGGCUCACCUAGGCGACGAUCUCUAGCUGGUCUGAGAGGAUGAUCAGCCACACUAGGACUGUGAGACGGCCCAGAAUCCUGCGAGAGGCAGCAGUGGGGAAUAUUGCACAAUGGGCGCAAGCCAGAUGCAGCCAUGCCGCGUGUAUGAAGAAGGCCUGAGGGUUGUAAAGUACUUUCAGCGUAGAGGCGUUACCCGAAGAAGAAGCACCGGCUAACUCCGUGCCAGCAGCCGCGGUAAUGC
rnacentral:rRNA from 1 species